GAAGCGGCAACAGCUCAAAUUUGAAAUCUGGCGCAAGCCCGAGUUGUAAUUUGUAGAGGAUGCUUCUGGCCAGCGGCCGUUCUAAGUUCCUUGGAACAGGACGUCAUAGAGGGUGAGAAUCCCGUAUGUGACCGGCGCGCAGCCUUUACGUAGCUCCUUCGACGAGUCGAGUUGUUUGGGAAUGCAGCUCUAAAUGGGAGGUAAAUUUCUUCUAAAGCUAAAUACCGGCCAGAGACCGAUAGCGCACAAGUAGAGUGAUCGAAAGAUGAAAAGCACUUUGGAAAGAGAGUUAAAAAGCACGUGAAAUUGUUGAAAGGGAAGCGCUUGCAACCAGACUUCGUAGCGAUGUUCCGCUGGUCUUCUGACCGGUCUACUCAUCGUCGCGAGGCCAACAUCGUCUGGGGCCGCUGGAUAAGACCUAAGGAAUGUAGCUUCCCUCGGGAAGUGUUAUAGCCUGUGGUGAUGCAGCGUGUCUCGGGCGAGGUCCGCGCUUCGGCAAGGAUGUUGGCGUAAUGGUUGUCAGCGGCCCGUCUUGAAACACGGACCAAGGAGUCUAACAUCUAUGCGAGUGUUCGGGUGUCAAACCCCUACGCGUAAUGAAAGUGAACGGAGGUGGGAAGCGCAAGCUGCACCAUCGACCGAUCCUGAUGUCCUCGGAUGGAUUUGAGUAAGAGCAUAGCUGUUGGGACCCGAAAGAUGGUGAACUAUGCCUGAAUAGGGUGAAGCCAGAGGAAACUCUGGUGGA
rnacentral:rRNA from 1 species